AGUCCUUGAUCACUGGCCUGUGAUCCCACUAAGGUUGCCUUUCCAGCCCCGACAUCUUGGUCGUCUAAGAGGCAGCCCGUGGUGGCCCAGGCUAGAUUAGCAGUCACAAGAAAGGCAGGGUGCCUUGAUUCCCCUGAGAGCUUUGGGCUUGGUGGAGUCGAGCCCGGCCUGUUCCUGUUUAGCUUCUUUGCCCCGCUCUGGCCCUAGGCUCAGGAUUGUGUGUGUGGUGGGGGAGGCUCUGAGCAGAUGCCCUCCCCAGCCCUCACACCAGAUGUCUUUGGUCUAAUUAACUCUGCUGGGAAAACCAACCUGGGUUUGUAAACAGAGCUACUGGCUAAAGUCAACAGGGAACAGCAGCAAACAGCAAACAUUCCCCUCACACUCAGCUCCUGUCCAGUUCAGCACCCCCACCCCCCCAAGGGAAGGGGGAGUGGGAUGGAUCAGAGGCCCCUGCUCUCCCGGCUGAGUCGGCUGAGUCAGCGGAAGGCUGUCUGCCUCUGUGACCCCAAUAUGGCUGCCAUUUCCUUGCCUGUUCCAGGGUCUCCUCUACUGGGAAGGAACAGGGAUUCUGGGAAGAGCAGUUGCCAUUCCAAGUCAGGCUCUGUCCCCCUUCCAACCAUUUCUCUCUAAAUACUGACACCUUCUUGGCCAAACAUCUCAAUGCACGGGGAAGCCACUGUGGAGGGACUGCUUGAAGAGCUUUCUUUAGGACCUGCCCUGCUUUUCUGUCUUGGAGAAGUCUCUGUGGGCAGGGCUUGGCAUUGUGAGUCUCAGCUCAGAGCUGGUGAAUAGAACGUGAGUAUUGUCAAGUUCUUUACACAUCAUGUAGGUAUUAUAAUAACAUGUUCUGAAAUUAGGUAAUUAUUUCUGUGAUAUCUCUGCCAAACUUCAGUGUUUUUGUUAUGGUUUGAAAGUUCAACGCACAUAAGGAUCCGAGAAUCAGGCACAAAAGUAUACACGGCGCACACACAGAAGCCCAACUGGGCAGGUGCCUCACACACAAGAACAAAGACAUUUCAGCUGUUGCCUCCCUUGCCCGCUUUUAGACAUACUGGCACGUAAGAUCCAAGAUGGAAAAAGGUUUUUGGCUUCUGAAACAAAGGGAUUUAACUUUUGAACAGAUUAGAGUUUCUGGAUCGUCAGUUCUUAACCAAAUUUUGCUUGUUUGCUUUUUUUUUUCUUUUUGGUGCCACCCAAGAAGCAGAAUCAUUUCAAAGAAUUGGAAGGCAUGAAAUGCUAUGCUAUGCCACUGCAGACUCCCAGUGCACAUCUGUCCAUCCACCCAAAGGCCAGGAAGGGCCCAUACCCCAGACCUUGCAGGCCAGAAUCUGCUCCAGGAGAUAAAUGCUAUUAUUAUCUCCAAUUUUCAUGAUGAGAAAAUUGACCUGAGAGAAGUUAGUAAGACACCCAAAGACGGCUGUUUGAACAGGAGCGGAGCAGAGGCGCAGAUGCCUCUGACUGCAAAGUGUGUGCUCUUUUCCUGCUCUGUCCUUCGCUAGCAGCAAUCCCAAGGGUGGUCUUUCCAAGCCUGACACUGCAACCUUGGCUAGAAGGGACAUCAGUCAUAUGUCAGAGGCUGAAUAACAAGUGUUUCCUCACCAGCAGGAAAAAAAAAAAAA